GUACGGCGAGUGANAGGAAGAGCUCAAAGUUGGAACCUGUUUGGCCUAGCUAAACCNNNNNNNNNNNNUAGAAGUGUUUUCCAGGCAAGCCGAGUAAAUAAGUCCUUUGGAACAGGGCAUCAUAGAGGGUGAGAAUCCCGUCUUUGGCUUGAGCAUUUGCCUUUUGUGAUACGCUUUCAAAGAGUCAGGUUGUUUGGGAAUGCAGCCUAAAUUGGGUGGUAAAUCUCACCUAAAGCUAAAUAUUGGCGAGAAACCGAUAGCGAACAAGUACCGUGAGGGAAAGAUGAAAAGAACUUUGAAAAGAGAGUUAAACAGUAUGUGAAAUUGUUAAAAGGGAACCGUUUGGAGCCAGACUGGCUUGUCUGUAAUCAAUCUAGGCUUCGGCCUGGAUGCACUUGCAGGCUAUGCCUGCCAACGACAAUUUGACUUGAGGGAAAAAACUAAGGGAAAUGUGGCCCACUUGUGGGUGUUAUAGUCCCUUAGAAAAUACCUUGGGUUGGAUUGAGGAACGCAGCGAAUGCUUUUUGGCGAGUUUUCCAGGAAGGUUUUCUGAGGUACUACGGUAUCAAGGUUGAUCUUUUUGGUUAUACUUCUAUUCGCUUAGGUUGUUGGCU
rnacentral:rRNA from 1 species